rnacentral:rRNA from 1 species
GACGAACGCUGGCGGCGUGCUUAACACAUGCAAGUCGAACGGAAAGGCCCUGCUUUUGUGGGGUGCUCGAGUGGCGAACGGGUGAGUAACACGUGAGUAACCUGCCCUUGACUUUGGGAUAACUUCAGGAAACUGGGGCUAAUACCGGAUAGGAGCUCCUGCUGCAUGGUGGGGGUUGGAAAGUUUCGGCGGUUGGGGAUGGACUCGCGGCUUAUCAGCUUGUUGGUGGGGUAGUGGCUUACCAAGGCUUUGACGGGUAGCCGGCCUGAGAGGGUGACCGGCCACAUUGAGACUGAGAUACGGCCCAGACUCCUACGGGAGGAAGAAGUGGGGAAUAUUGCACAAUGGGCGGAAGCCUGAUGCAGCAACGCCGCGUGCGGGAUGACGGCCUUCGGGUUGUAAACCGCUUUCGCCUGUGACGAAGCGUGAGUGACGGUAAUGGGUAAAGAAGCACCGGCUAACUACGUG